rnacentral:lncRNA from 1 species
AGAGGGAGUGCUACUACAGAGUGUGCUGCGGUGUGAGGUAGUUGGUUGUAUGGUUUCACAUAAUAAACAGCCCGGAGAUAACUGUACAACCUUCUAGCUUUCCCCGCGGUGUCACCACAACCUACAGUAAGCACCCCUGGAGUCACACCACCAAGCCAACACUGUGGUAAGUAUAGGACUGUCAGAGAAAGUACAUGACACAACACAGAGAGGCUAGUUAGGUCACACACAGGACAACACAGAGGCUAGUUUAGGUCACUAACAAGAAAACACAGAGGCUAGUUUAGGUCACUAACAAGACAACACAGAGGCUAGUUUAGGUCACUAACAAGACAACACAGAGGCUAGUUUAGGUCACUAACAAGACAACACAGAGGCUAGUUUAGGUCACACACAAGACAACACAGAGGCUAGUUUAGGUCACUAACAAGACAACACAGAGGCUAGUUUACGUCACUAACAAGACAACACAGAGGCUAGUUUGGGUCACUAACAAGACAACACAGAGGCUAGUUUAGGUCACUAACAAGACAACACAGAGGCUAGUUAGGUCACUAACAAGACAACACAGAGGCUAGUUUAGGUCACUAACAAGACAACAUAGAGGCUAGUUUAGCUCACAAAAGACAACAUUUGCUCUAUAUUGAAGAACAGACAAUGUAAGUGAACUGUGCAUGGAGGCCAUUUUUCAUUAUGUGAUCCAUUUGUUUUUUUCUGUCGUGGAAGGUUGAGUUUAAUUGGAUUCAAUUGAAUGCAAGAGCUGCCUCCUG